rnacentral:rRNA from 1 species
UGCGCAGGCGACCAAGUGUGUGAGGCGUGAAAGCCCGGAGCUCAACUCCGGAAUUGCACCUCAAACUACAUGGCUAGAGCAUUGGAGAGGGUAGCAGAAUUCACGGUGUAGCAGUGAAAUGCGUAGAUAUCGUGAGGAAUACCAGAGGCGAAGGCGGCUACCUGGACAAUUGCUGACGCUCAGGCACGAAAGCGUGGGGAGCAAAAGGGAUUAGAUACCCCUGUAGUCCACGCCCUAAACGGUGCACACUAGGUCUUGGCGGAUUCGACCCCCCCAGGGCCCAAGCUAACGCGUUAAGUGUGCCGCCUGAGGACUACGGCCGCAAGGCUAAA